UCCAUGGGUGGAAGGAGGCACCACAACGCGGCUCCCAGGCAGAGCGAGCGCCAGGUACGCCAAUCGAAAAUUUGUGUGGAUUCUUUGUCAGGAAGAAAAGGGGCGGCGCUGGGAAGCAGCUCGUGGCCAUCCAGAUUUUGGUUGUUCUCCUAGGUGGAGAGGGGCCGGAGUACCUAACCUAACCCUUUUAUGGAUCUCCCCUAAACAGGAUUAAAGCGAUUUUGGAAGUAAAUCACCUGAAGCUGGAAGUAGAAAUGAGUACUAGAUUCAGUAUUCCAGCUGGUCCUUUUCACAGUUUGUGGUUAGAGGCACAUAUUGAUGUUAAGCUCACGGUGGAGCCUGUUUAUUUUCUCAGCGAGGAUGGUGCAGCGAACGGCGGCCGCAUGCUUCGGAGGAAGGGGAGCGGUGGGUUGAGGUCGACGUUGGUGGACUACUGGAUGCCUAGAAGGAAGGAAGAAAGACCGGUGGCAUGGCCUAGACGGGAUGAGGAGGAGGCGGGUUCUGGCAUGGCCUGCACGACUGCAUUUUCUUCUCAGUUCCUUUGCUUCCAUGGGUGUUCGUGCUGGCUUGCGUUGCGAUUGAUUAUGUGGUGUUGGAUCCAGCAAGGCCAGGGGAUCCUGAUGGAAGUCGGUGAGGUGCACAACUCUCCUAGAGUGCCUUCCUCGAUUACCAGGAUUAUGAGCUCAUAAAGCUUCUGCAUAUCCAUUGUGGUUUUCGUGGUGUGGCGAGAAUGGGAAGGUCAUCAAUUCUCCUCCGCUGCGGGGGGCUCGCAUCUCCAUUUUUCUCAAAUUGUGGUGCUCUAUUUUCAACCUCCACUUUAGAUGAACUAGACACGGUGGAAGUUAUAUUUGAAAGAUUUGUAUCAUAGGCUGAAGUCAAGAUUUGUCUAUGCUUAUCAAUGUGCGGAUGUCAAGCAGUUUGAGAACAUUUUGAAAAUAUCACCCAAAGUUUGUCGACCCACCGCUCCUCUCCAACCGGUGAUCCAGCACAAGGUAUAUGUGAUGUCAGUCUUUUUUUCUCUGCAUUAUCCCUGACUGUGCAUCUAUUCGUAGUGGGAAUGGAUCCUCCCAUCUGAUGCGGGGUUAGAUGAUGGAUGUGAGCCAAUUUCUAGGUUUAUCCAACAAUUACACACGCCAAUGAAAUUCAGGAUUUUUUUUUUGUACGAUAUCGGUUUAUGCUUUGUGGUGUAGGAUUAUAAUCUGCCCUGUGUUGGUGGACAUAGGAAGAGCCCUCUCAUUACCCAUAGUUUGGCAUGUAUGUUUCUGGUAAUUGUUUCGUUUCAAUUCAAACCCGUAUUGUCUGCAUGUAUGUUAGAAAUAUCAUUUCUCGCUCCGAGAAAGCCUUUUGCCAAAAAGAGUAAUGCCGCAAGGGCUUGGCUUAGGUUCUCUUGCAAAUAUCCACUGAGUUGCUGUGAUUCAUGAAAGUUACUUGCCAAAAAAAGUUCUCUGUAAUUAUAAGCAAUGCCAUUAUUACAGAGGAAAUCAUCAUGUUUUGUCAUCAUAUUAGUUUGAAAAUCUAA